AACGAACGCUGGCGGCAUGCCUAACACAUGCAAGUCGAACGAAGCCUUCGGGCUUAGUGGCGCACGGGUGCGUAACACGUGGGAAUCUGCCCUUAGGUAUGGAAUAACUCAGGGAAACUUGAGCUAAUACCGUAUGAUGUCUUCGGACCAAUGAUUUAUCGCCUAAGGAUGAGCCCGCGUCGGAUUAGCUAGUUGGUGGGGUAAAGGCCUACCAAGGCGACGAUCCGUAGCUGGUCUGAGAGGAUGAUCAGCCACACUGGGACUGAGACACGGCCCAGACUCCUACGGGAGGCAGCAGUGGGGAAUAUUGGACAAUGGGCGAAAGCCUGAUCCAGCAAUGCCGCGUGAGUGAAGAAGGCCUUCGGGUUGUAAAGCUCUUUUACCCGGGAAGAUAAUGACUGUACCGGGAGAAUAAGCCCCGGCUAACUCCGUGCCAGCCGCCGCAGUAA
rnacentral:rRNA from 1 species